UCAGUAGAUGAUAGAUCGAUACACAGCAUUAGCCUUACACACCAUCACAAUGAUCGAACAAGACUGCAUUCCAAUUGGUACCAUAUUCCCUAUAUAGUGUACACUUUUGACUGGAGGGCCCUGGUCAAAAGUAGUACACUAUAUAGGGAAUGUGUAGCCAACAGUAGAACGUUUAUGAGAUGCAAUAGACAAGAAAAUAGGAAAAUGUAGAAAAAUAUUGUUAUAUAGUCUCACAAAGCAUUGUGUAGGCUAAAUCACAUCAGUCCCCAGUACCAGCCUCUGGGUUGGAAUGGGCCAUCACGUGAUGUUUACUGAUUUAUGCAUAAAGAUUCCAUUUACAGAAUCAUUGGUUAUUGAAACAUGGAGAAGCAUCAAAAUCUGUGUCUUGGACAUGAACAUCUCCUUCGAUCAAAGUGAAAUUGAAAAGACGGAUGAUAAGCACUUCCAUUCAUUCACCUGGCUGACACUUUUACAUGCACUGCAUCAUAACCAAUAAUGGAAGCCUUUACAGGUGAAUCGUAGCCAAUAAUGGAAGCCUUUACAAGGUGAAUCGUAGACAAUAAUGGAAGCCUUUACAAGGUGAAUCGUAGCCAAUAAUGGAAGCCUUUACAAGGUGAAUCGUAGACAAUAAUGGAAGCCUUUACAGGUGAAUCGUAGACAAUAAUGGAAGCCUUUACAAGGUGAAUCGUAGUUCAAUUCAAUCCCCUAUGAAAAAUAUUUCAGUCACUGUCAGCAUAUACAGUGGCAAGAAACAGCAUGUGACCCCUUUGGAAAUACCUGGAUUUCUGCAUAAAUUGGUCAUGCAUUUUGAGCUGAUCUUCAUCUAGGUCACAACAAUAGACAAACACAGUUUGCUUUACUAAUAACACCCAAACAAUGUAUAUGUUUUCAUGUCUUUAUUGAACACCGUGUAAACAUUCACCUUCCAGGGUAGAAAAAGUAUGUGAACCCUUGGAUUUAAUAACUGGUUGACUCUCCUUUGGCAGCAAUAACCUCAACCAAAUGUUUUCUGUAGUUGCGGAUCAGACCUGCACACCCGUCAGGAGGAAUUUUGGACCAUUCCUCUUUACAAAACUGUUUCAGUUCAGCAAUAUUCUUGGGAUGUCUGGUGUGAACGGCUCUCGAGGUCAUUCCACAGCAUCUCAAUCAGGUUGAGGUCAUUCUGUUGUUGAUUUACUUGUCUUUUUGGGUUGUUGUCCUGUUGCAUCACCCAACUUCUGUUGCGCUUCAAUUGGCGAACAUAUAGCCUCACAUUCUCCUGCAAAAUGUCUUGAUAAACUUGAAUGAUUUUUUCCAUAUGAUAGCAUGCUGUCUAGGCCCUGAGGCAGCCCCAAAUCAUGAUGCUCCCUCCACCAGACUUUACAGUUGGGAUGAGGUUAUGAUGUUGGUGUGCUGUGCCUUUUUUCCCUCUCCACCACAUAGUGUUGUGUGUUCCUUCCUUCCAAACAACUCAACUGUAGCUUCAUCUGUCCACACAAUAUUUUGCCAGUAGCGCUGUGGAACAUCCAGGUGCACGUUUGAAAACUUCAGACGUGCAGCAAUGCUUUUUUUGGACAGCAGUGGCUUCUUCCAUGGUGUCCUCCCUUGAACAUCAUUCUUAUUUUACGUAUCGUAGGCUCGUCAACAGAGAUGUUAGCAUGUUCCAGAGAAUUCUGUAAGUCUUUAGCUGACACUAGGAUUGUUCUUAACCUCAUUGAGCAUUCUGCACUGUGCUCUUGCAGUCAUCUUUGCAGGACGGUCACUCCUAGGGAGAGUAGCAACAGUGCUGAACUUUCUCCAUUUAUAGACAAUUUGUCUUACUUAUUUUACAGAUACUUUUGUAAGCCUUUCAAGCUUUAUGCAAGUCAACAAUUCUUCAUCUUAGGUCUUCUGAGAUCUUUUGUUCGAGGCAUCGUUUACAUCAAGCAAUGCUUCUUGUGAAUAGGAAACUCAAAUUUUGUAAGUGUUUUUUAUAGGGCAAGGCAGCUCUAACCAACCUCUCCAAUCUCGUCUCAUUCAUUGGACUCCAGGUUAGCUGACUCAUGACUCCAAUUAGCUUUUGGAGAAGUCAUUAGCCUUUGGGUUCACAUACUUUUCCCAACCUACACAGUUUAAAUUAUUGAUUUAAUAUAGACAAGAGAAAUACAAUUUGUAUUAUUUUAAGCACACUAUGUCUGUCUAUUGAUGACUUAGAUGAAGAUCAGAUCAAAUUUGAUGACCAAUUUAUGCAGAAAUCCAGGUAAUUCCAAAGGGUUCACAUACUUUUUUCUUGCCACUUGAAACAGUGAUUUCCAGUUAUACUAUUCUUGGUACUAUAUUGCUAUGCCAACAUUAGGAAGAGGACAAUACUGUAAAAUAUUACAAGACAUGAACAUUUAGAUAAA